GACGAACGCUGGCGGCGUGCUUAACACAUGCAAGUCGAGCGGUAAGGCCCUUUCGGGGGUACACGAGCGGCGAACGGGUGAGUAACACGUGGGCAACCUGCCCUGUAGAUUGGGAUAACUCCGGGAAACCGGGCUAAUACCGAAUAAUCCAUUUCCUCUCAUGGGGAAAUGUUAAAAGACGGUUUCGGCUGUCACUACAGGAUGGGCCCGCGGCGCAUUAGCUAGUUGGUGAGGUAACGCUCACCAAGGCGACGAUGCGUAGCCGACCUGAGAGGGUGAUCGGCCACACUGGGACUGAGACACGGCCCAGACUCCUACGGGAGGCAGCAGUAGGGAAUCUUCCACAAUGGACGAAAGUCUGAUGGAGCAAUGCCGCGUGAGUGAAGAAGGUUUUCGGAUCGUAAAACUCUGUUGUGAGGAAGAACAAGUACGAGAGUACCUGCUCGUACCUUGACGGUACCUCAUUAGAAA
rnacentral:rRNA from 1 species